GGUCUUUCUAUCUAUUUGCCGCGGAUAAAUCCUCCUUUCCUCUCUAUCUCUUUUUGUCUCUCUAUCUCUUUGUCUCUCUCUCUUUCUCUAUAUGCCGAUCCAGAUCUGGAUCCCAAGAUCUAUGUGUAAAUGAUGAGUAACAACAACAGCAACUGGUGGUCCAAACAACUAUCAGAAGAGAUCAUGUAAUUGGUUCUACAACGAUGAGAUUGACUACGAGACAGACUAUGUUGUUGGGGUUUUGAAGAAGAGCAAGAUGGGUGUUAUUCUUGCCGAAGGCUUGAAGAUGAGAUUGACUAUGUUGUUGGGGUUUUGAGUUUGUGGCAGAAAAUGGUAGAGUGGGAAAAGAAAAGAGAUUGACUACGCUAUUCUCAUGGACCAUGGUCCUACAUCUGUAAAUAGUUUAUUGUUAGUUAGCUUUAUGAGGUAGUUUAAAUUUAGUCAUCUCUGCCGAUCUACAUGUAUCUGUUUUACUAUAUAUUUAGGUUAAUGAUGUUUAGCUUUGUUUGAACAUGAUUUCAAGCUGUGAUGCGCAGCUACUAAAGUUUAU
rnacentral:lncRNA from 1 species